AUCGAUGAUCCCUGGGCUGAUAACAGUCCUCUUUCCUUCCAAAUAGCUCCCAUGAGCAUGAAUCACACCAAAUGCAUAUUUAGAAUCAGUCCAGAUAUUUGUCCUCUGUCUUGCUGCCAUUCGCAAGGCCUGCUUUAAAGCCACCAAUUCUGCUUUCUGUGCCGAGGUAUUUGCAGGCAGGGUCUCUGACUCCAAUACCUUUAUGGUGGUGACGAUGGCAUAUCCGGCUAUUUAUUUCCCUCCUUGUACAAAACUGCUUCCAUCGGGAACUUGCUCGGAAUUCUUCGGUCUGGGGAUCAGAGGUUCUCCCCGAGAAUCCCUCGGUGCCGGCUGGAGGUCCCGUGAUCCCACGGAUCCGUCGAGAUUCACAAGCGUCGUCCCAUCUGGGUCGCCAAAACUGUCACCGAAAUUGGGAGGAAUAAACCUCGUAACACCAAGGCAAUUUUCAUCAAUCCCGCUAGUAGAGCAACACUUGUUCAAGUUCUCACGGCGUUUUCCUCCUUUCAGAAGCAUCACCGUAGACUUUUGUGGAUCUCUCCCGCGCCGCUUCUGCCCUUGUGGACGAUUGGCCAGCGUAAAGGACAAAGGGAGCUCUGCCGCUUGGUCUCCUCGCCGUGCGGUUUGGAGGUUUGGGUGCCCGAGCCCCGGCAGCGUGGCUUUUAGGGGAGCCGGGCGGUGGCGGCCUGAGCGGGGCCCGUGGCUCUGGGCGGUGCCGCUGCCCUGCUGGGUGGUCUGGGCGGGCGGGGCCCGCGGGCAGGGGCGGGGCCGUCGCCCUCCUCCCCGUGC